rnacentral:misc_RNA from 1 species
GACACCUAGACACUGACCAU